AGUUUACAGUCUGAUCAGGGUGAUCCGGGUUCGCCCGGAUAAAAGGGAAUACGGUGCCGUAAUUUUGCCCAUGCCGUAGCUGCCCCCGCAACUGUAAGCGACCAGAAUUUUCAAUGGCCACUGGAACAUUCCGGAAAGGCGAAAAUUGUACGCGCAAGCCAGGAAACCUGCCUUGAUCACAAAAGCUGU
rnacentral:ncRNA from 2 species